rnacentral:rRNA from 1 species
AAUCAACGCUGGCGGCGCGCUUAACACAUGCAAGUCGCACGAGAAAGUGGAGCAAUCCAUGAGUACAGUGGCGUACGGGUGAGUAACACGUGGGUAAUCUACCUCUUAGUGGGGAAUAACUCUGGGAAACCGGAGCUAAUACCGCAUAAGCCUGGAAAGGGAAAGCAGCAAUGCGCUGAGAGAGGAGCCCGCGGCCGAUUAGCUAGUUGGUAGGGUAAAAGCCACCAAGGCAAUGAUCGGUAGCCGGCCUGAGAGGGCACACGGCCACACUGGCACUGAAACACGGGCCAGACUCCUACGGGAGGCAGCAGUGGGGAAUCUUGCACAAUGGGGGCGAACCCUGAUGCAGCGACGCCGCGUGAGCGAUGAAGCCCUUC